CAUGUCCUUUUGAUAAUGAUUUAAGGUCUAAUCUGCUCAAUGAGGGAUUAAAUUGCCGCGGUAUUAUGACCGUGCGAAGGUAGCAUAAUAAUUAGCUUUUUUAUUGAAAGCUGGAAUGAAUGAUUGGACGAGAAAACAUCUGUCUCUAUCAGAUUUUUUUUUGAAUUUAACAUUUAAGUGAAAAGGCUUAAAUUUUUUUAAAAGACGAGAAGACCCUAUAGAGUUUUAUAUAAUUUUAGUUUAAAGAUUUUUGGUAUUUGUUUCUUUUAAUUAUGAUUUUAUUUGGUUGGGGUGACUAGAAGAAUCAUUAAACUCUUCUAUUAUUUUGUUACUGAUUUGUAAAUAAUUUUUCUGGAGUUUUCAAGUUUAAAAUAAAUUACCUUAGGGAUAACAGCGUAAUUUCUUCUGAGAGUUCAUAUUUAAGGAGGAGUUUGCGACCUCGAUGUUGGAUUAAAAUUAAUAUUGGGUGCAGUAGCUCAAUUAUUAGGUCUGUUCGACCUUUAAAAUUUUACAUGAUCUGAGU
rnacentral:rRNA from 1 species